GACGUAGGGGGCAAGCGUUGUUCGGAAUUAUUGGGCGUAAAGCGCUCGUAGGCGGGACAGGAAGUUCGUGUUGAAAGACCUCGGCUCAACUGAGGGACCGGCUCGAAUACUCUUGUUCUUGAGGCAAUCAGAGGGUGAUGGAAUUCCCGGUGUAGCGGUGAAAUGCGUGGAUAUCGGGAGGAACACCAGUGGCGAAGGCGAUCACCUGGGGUUGUUCUGACGCUGAGGAGCGAAAGCUAGGGGAGCAAACGGG
rnacentral:rRNA from 1 species